rnacentral:lncRNA from 1 species
UGGGCGCACACACCCUCGGAUUGACGUGCGCACGCGCACCGGUUACCUUCAGGAGCGCCGAAGAAGGAAAGAAGAACACAGAGCCCGAGGCAAAGCUUAAGUGCUUACGCUUUUGUCGGGAGGUACAGACCCAGCUCUGCGAGAGCCAGGGGAAAAGGAAGAGAGGCAGGGAAGGAAUGGCAGCAAGUACAAGGUGAUGAAUGACUGCACUGGCCAUUGCUUCAUGAAGAGCCACGAAAAAACAGAGCCGGUUUCUCAGCAGGUGGCUGGCUGCUCAGUCACAAAGGACCUCUUUGGACAGGCUUUAUGGAAAUACUGUGCCUAGGACAGUCGCUCAAAGGCAGGAGGGAGAGAAAAUGCAUCUGCAAGCUCACUUUGUCUUCUUUCUUCUGCUGGUCAAAAUUUGCUGGCUGGGGCAGUUAACGCCCUCACACAUCCGAGUUGUGUCACCUGGCCCCUUUGGUAGCCACUGGGGAAGCCAGAUCUAGGCAUGUGGCCUGAUGGCUCCUGCGGUGGAACCACAUGCUCACACUCAGUCAGUCACCACUGGGAUGCCCUGGGCAGGGCAGGCUGAGUGGCUGGGAGAUAGCUGAGCCUAAGAUAUCUAAGCAAGCACCUGUGAUGUAUGCACUGCAGUGUCCAAAUGUGAAAAAGCAAGAAAGGGAGAUAGAAGCAUAUUUUUUUCUGGAGAGAAGGAGGAAACCACCAGGAGAAUACAAACAGAAAAAAGACUGCCAGCUCCGUGACAGCAAGAACCUUGUAUGACUUUUUCAUGAUGGAUGUUCAUCUGUGCCAUCUGUAAAUAUUGAAUAAAUAUUUGUGGAAUACAUGAAUCUAAAAGUGAAUGGAAUGAUAAAGAGGGAAAGGGUCAUGACAUCUACUACAGCAUUUGGCACAGACCCAGGUUUCCCUGGUACUGGUAAUUCCCAGCAGCUUUCUACAAUUCCAAAGGUCAGAAAUAAACUGCCAAAAAAUUUUUACUAAAUCAUGUUCUGGUCUGGGAUACAGCCCUGAAAUGCACUUUGAGCAAGAAAGACUUUGUAGAGGAGAAAAAAGGUGGACCAAUGAGGAUUGGGCUAGAACCAGAGGAAAGUGAACAUUCUUGGUUUAGAUAAAUAUCCACAACCUUCUAAGGUUUUCAUGUGUACUACAGAGAAGCUCCAGGCUCCUACAUUUCCCUGUGGGUAGUUUUAAAAAGCUACUGUAGCAAAACAGAGGCUGGUGGUGACUACGCUUAUCUUUUAGAAGAGCCAUCAUUGCAUUUCUGCAGCACAGA